UACGUAGGUGGCAAGCGUUGUCCGGAUUUACUGGGCGUAAAGAGCGCGCAGGCGGUUGGAUAAGUCGAAUGUGAAAGCCCCCCGGCUUAACUGGGGAGGGUCACGCGAUACUGAUCGACUCGAAGGCAGGAGAGGGUAGUGGAAUUCCCGGUGUAGUGGUGAAAUGCGUAGAUAUCUGGAGGAAUACCGGUGGCGAAGGCGGCAUCCUGGACCGACAUUGACGCUGAGGAGCGAAAGCUAGGGGAGCAAACGGG
rnacentral:rRNA from 1 species